AUUGAACGCUGGCGGCAUGCCUUACACAUGCAAGUCGAACGGCAGCACGGGGCAACCUGGUGGCGAGUGGCGAACGGGUGAGUAAUGCAUCGGAACGUACCUUUCAGUGGGGGAUAACGUAGCGAAAGUUACGCUAAUACCGCAUAUUCUGUGAGCAGGAAAGCAGGGGAUCGCAAGACCUUGCGCUGAUUGAGCGGCCGAUGUCAGAUUAGCUAGUUGGUGAGGUAAAGGCCCACCAAGGCGACGAUCUGUAGCGGGUCUGAGAGGAUGAUCCGCCACACUGGAACUGAGACACGGUCCAGACUCCUACGGGAGGCAGCAGUGGGGAAUUUUGGACAAUGGGGGCAACCCUGAUCCAGCCAUGCCGUGUGAGUGAAGAAGGCCUUCGGGUUGUAAAGCUCUUUCGGCCGGGAAGAAAUCGCACGGGCUAAUACCCUGUGUGGAUGACGGUACCGGAAUAAGAAGCACCGGCUAACUACGUGCCAGCCGCCGCGGUAACAC
rnacentral:rRNA from 1 species